AGAAUUUUGGGAUGCAGCAGCGACAAUUUCAGCGUAAUCCCGCAGUAGUAAAACUCUUGCGACUAGCUAUAGCAUAACAGCAGCAACAUCAACGACCUCAACACCAAUUGUGAUUGCUCAGGAGAUAAAUUGACAACUAAAACAAAACCAUAUGCUACUAUAAUUAGGACAGAGUAUAACGGAUGAACAAAAUGAUAGAAGAGUAAAGAAGAAAGUGUUACAGGCUUAAGAAACAGAAAAUUGGCAUUGGAACUGGAACAAAAA